rnacentral:misc_RNA from 1 species
GUGGGAGGGGGCUUGCCCCCGAUUGCAGUGUGUCAGCCAGUUAAUUUUUAGCUGACCCACAGCCAUCGGGGGCAAGCCCCCUCCCAC